rnacentral:rRNA from 1 species
AACGUAGGAGACAAACGUUAUCCGGAGUUACUGGGCGUAAAGGGCGUGUAGGUGGUUUCGUAAGUCUGGCGUGAAAUAUCUCGGCUUAACCGAGGCAGGUCGUCGGAUACUGCGGGACUAGAGGACGGUAGAGGCGUGUGGAAUUCCGGGUGUAGUGGUGAAAUGCGUAGAGAUCCGGAGGAACACCAGUGGCGAAGGCGACACGCUGGGCCGCACCUGACACUGAUGCGCGACAGCAUGGGGAGCAAACAGG